UCAAGAGUUCAAGGCCAUAGCAGAAGCACUUACAGUGCAGCCAUGUCAGAUUCCAAUGAAUCUGCGAAUUCUGCU
rnacentral:ribozyme from 1 species